rnacentral:rRNA from 1 species
GGAAUAUUGGGCAAUGGGCGAAAGCCUGACCCAGCAACGCCGCGUGAAGGAAGAAGGUUUUCGGAUCGUAAACUUCUGUCCUGUAAGAAGAUAGUGACGGUAUUAUAGGAGGAAGCCCCGGCUAACUACGUGCCAGCAGCCGCGGUAAUACGUAGGGGGCGAGCGUUGUCCGGAAUGAUUGGGCGUAAAGGGCGCGUAGGCGGCCUGUUAAGUCUGGAGUGAAAGUCCUGCUUUCAAGGUGGGAAUUGCUUUGGAUACUGAUAGGCUUGAGUGCAGGAGAGGUUAUCGGAAUUCCCGGUGUAGCGGUGAAAUGCGUAGAGAUCGGGAGGAACACCAGUGGCGAAGGCGGGUAACUGGACUGCAACUGACGCUGAGGCGCGAAAGUGUGGGGAGCAAACA